GAGCGCGCAGGUGGGCGGGGAUUUAGUCGGCGGAGAUCUUUGCACGCGAGAGGGCGGCGCAAGCUCGUCGGUGGAGGGCUUCUCGUGCGCAGGCGGUCACAAAUUGGUCCCGGAGGGUACCUGUGUGCAAUAGCCUCAGGGAUUGACCCCCAAGUCUAUUGGGCGCGCGAGAUCUGCAAUUAAGCAGGUACGUGUUCAAGGAUGGUGGGCAAUUACGGGGAGCUCUUAAGUUUUGUGAGAUGAGAAACUGAAGACAUUGAAUUCAUGAAUAAUGAGCAUGGAAUAGAGAGUGCAUCAGCUCCUUAUGUUACUCACCACUACCAAACUGGACAGGUUAUAGGUACUUAUAGGGGUAGUUUUAGUUCUUCCGAAUCCUUUUGAGCUAUAUAGAUUAGUUGUCUAGCAAUUUACUUAAGUUGUUUUAUCACUAUGCUUAAGUUUUGUGCUGAAAUAAAUUAAGUUGAUUCCUCGAGCAUGCUUAAGUUGUUGAGUUUGGCACAAUCUAUCUAGUUGUUCCUUUUGAGCAUCAUAAGUUUUCCACUGGGUCAUUUCGUUGCCUUAUCAACAUGAUUAAGUGGAUAGAGAGUGCAUCAGCUCCUUAUUUUACUCACCACUACCAAACUUGACAAAUUAUAGGUACUUAUAGGGGUAGUUUUAGUUCUUCGAUUCCUUUUUAGCUAUAUGGAAUAGUUGUUUAGAAAUUUACUUAAGUUGUUUUAUCACUAUGCUUAAGUUGUGUACUGGAAUAAAUUAAGUUGAUUCUUUGAGCAUGCUUAAGUUGUAGUUUGGCACAAUCACUGGGUUAUUUAGUUGCAUUGUCAACAUGCUUAAGUUGACUAGUGAAAUUAAUUGACUUGAUUCCUCGAGCAUGCUUAAGUUGUUGGGUAUUGGUACAAUCUAUCUAGGUAUUCCUUUUGAGCAACAUGCAUAAGUUGUCAGCUAGUUUAAUUAGUUACCUUGUGAACAUGCUUAAGUUGAGUACUGAAAAUUAAUUAAGUUGAUUCUUUUCGGUAUCCUUAAAUUGUUCGGUAUUGGUACAAUCUAUAUAGGUUUUCGUUUUCGAGCAACACACAUGAGUUGGUCACUAAUCUAAAUAAGUUGCUUUGUCAGCAUGCUUAAAGUGUUUAUAUAGGGCUGCACAGCCAGUACCAUCUUGAGCGCGGUGGUGGAGGACGCCAUGGCGCCUAGCUCGAGCAGGUGGCGAUGCCCAGGACUAACGCCUAGCGCUAGCACAAGCCUGCCAUGGCUCCUGAAGAAUGAUUAAUGGAGAUAUGUAACGGAGGAAGAAAAGAGACUGGUGGGAAGGGGCGUCACAUGGUCCUGGCCUGGGGCCUGGUUGGCUCUCGUGGGAUGGGGCUACACCAGCACGUGAGGGCUAGCCCAGCGUGGGAACGUGAUGGAGGACAUGGACGAGCGGAUGGGGCUACACCAACACGUGAGAGCUGGUCCAACUUUCAGGAAUCUGAUCCAUUGUUUGUUGUUUUUCAGUCGAGUGCUAGGCCGAACGAGCCAGCACCCGGAUGCUGGGCCGGACAAACCGGCACCCGGAUGCUGGCACGGACAACCCAGCACCGGAUGCUAGCUAGCC